rnacentral:lncRNA from 1 species
CUUUUCCUCCUGACGUCUCUGUGAUCUCAAACCUUCACGAUGGCGUGAAUAAAUGGAUCUGUAUCAAACCUGAUUGGCAGGAGAAGCCUAGAGUCUGCAGAGGAAGAGGGCCGUCCUGGCAGGCCCUGAGUGCUUUCACUCCUGGGAGAAGCAGUUCCCUGGACCUCGAGCUGCUCAGCCCCGCUGUCUUCCAGACGCCUUUUCUCUUCCCCCAGGUGCCCUUGGUUCAGAAGUUUUUCCUGAUGAUUCAAUUUGUGGACAAAGUCCUAAGGAUUUCUGUUCCCGCUCUUCAGGUGUAACAGCGUGCCUAUUCUAUUCCUAUAAAUUAUGAGAAAUUGAGCCAUCACGGCCUGGGAACAAAACAGGACGUGUUCUCUGUGCCCUUUUUGUCUCUGCACGACUCAGGAUGUGUGGGAUGAAGCACGUGCGGUGCCGGGAAGAGGCUGAACACGUUCUCCUCCUGCUGGCUGAGAUCUCGGGAGGCCCUGGACCCCGGCCAGGCCAGCUCAGGAAAAAGGAGAAAGCAGAAAAAAAAUUCCCCAGUUGGUGGCAAAACUGCCUCCUCGCCCGGAGUAACUUUAGCAUUCAAGUUAUUCAGUAAAGCAGCCCGUCUGGCAGCGGACUAUGAGAAGCAAUUCAUACCAUUGCAAAUGGAGAAGUGAAAUGUGAGGUCUUCCACAUUUCAGUGUGGAUUAUUCAAAAUGGGUGCACGAUUUUUAACAUUCAAGAAUUGUUUUGAAUGUCUCCAGAAAUGCAAAAAGUAAGUACGUUUCUCACUUUGGGUCUCAGAAGAAUGUUUCCCAUUCUCAUUCUCUUCCCUCUUUGCCUGAACCUACCUUUAGCGUCAGGCGGGCCAGCUGCCUUGUUUCAGUGUGAGGAGGGAACUCAUUUACGUGCAUCGGGAAGUAAAGAGUCAGAAUGCCAGGAGGAUCAAGGAGGAGGGUCUGUGGCUGUCCUCCCCUGCCACUCCCAGCUGGCGAAUUCUGACGAGAGCCUGGAGGAGGAGCCGUGGAGUCCCCGCCCCCGGAGCCUGCCCUGUGGAUUUCCUGGGACAAAAGGGGUCAGACGAGGGUUCAUACUCCGGAAGAAGGAAGAGACGUGCCUGACUAAUUCUAUUGUCAUACAUCAAAGAGCCCAGACGCCUUCUAAGAAGGCAACGGGCGAUGACGGAAGAAGCUGA